rnacentral:rRNA from 1 species
GCUCANGACGAACGCUGGCGGCACGCCUAACACAUGCAAGUCGAGCGCGAAAGCCGCUUCGGCGGCGAGUAGAGCGGCGCACGGGUGAGUAACGCGUGGCCAACCUGCCCUCGGGACCGGGACAACCCUUCGAAAGGGGGGCUAAUACCGGAUGAGACCCAGAUCGUGGGAUCGGGGUUGAAAGCUCCGGCGCCCGGGGAGGGGGCCGCGUCCCAUCAGCUAGCCGGUGAGGUAAUGGCUCACCGGGGCGACGACGGGUAGCGGGUCUGAGAGGACGGUCCGCCACACUGGCACUGAGACACGGGCCAGACUCCUGCGGGAGGCAGCAGUGGGGAAUCUUGCGCAAUGGGCGCAAGCCUGACGCAGCGAUGCCGCGUGGGUGAAGAAGGCCUUCGGGUCGUAAAGCCCUUUUGGUGGGGAGGAUGAUGACGUCACCCACCGAAUAAGCGCCGGCUAACUACGUGCCAGCAGCCGCGGUAAUACGUAGGGCGCGAGCGUUGUCCGGAAUCACUGGGCGUAAAGGGCGCGCAGGUGGGUUCGCAAGCGGGGGGUGAAAGGCCGGGGCUCAACCCCGGGACUGCUUCCCGAACUGCGGAUCUAGAGGGGGUCAGGGGCCAGCGGAAUUCCGGGUGGAGAGGUGAAAUUCGUAGAGAUCCGGAGGAACGCCGGCGGCGAAAGCGGCUGGCUGGGGCCGCCCUGACACUGAGGCGCGAGAGCGUGGGGAGCAAACAGGAUUAGAUACCCUGGUAGUCCACGCCGUAAACGAUGGGUACCGGGUGUCCGGGGGGUCGACCCCCCUGGGCGCCGCAGCUAACGCGAUGAGUACCCCGCCUGGGGAGUACGGCCGCAAGGCUAAAACUC